AGUUUUACUUAACGAGUCCAAAGAAAUUUUAAUAUUUCAGUUUCGACCCCGUUUGGUCACCGAAAACUGUACCGAACUGUAAUCUUUAUCAGAUAGUUGUCAGAAUUUAUUUUUCACCUUCCGGAUGUCAGAAUGAUAUGAAACUUUAAAUCUAGCCUCAUAAAAAUAAUUCUGACUUAUCCUCUAGUUUUCAUAAUUUUCUGACACUGUGCAUUUUCUGCUAAUUUAUCUAUCCUGUUUCCAACAGAAAAUUCUAAAUCUUCUGUUUCAUUCCGAUUUCAGCACAAGUCACUUCUAACUUAAGUUUUACUUCUCUAAAUCAAAUAAAAAUAGUUUCUCACACUAUUUUUAUUUAUUUUUAUUUUUAUACCAAAAUCUGGUAUGUUAAAUUCUCCACUUCUUAAAAAGAAUUUCGUCCGCGAAAUUCAAACAACGCCUCAAUUCAGCUCCGCGAGCAAUUG
rnacentral:lncRNA from 1 species